rnacentral:rRNA from 1 species
UACGAAGGGGGCUAGCGUUGCUCGGAAUCAUUGGGCGUAAAGCGCGCGUAGGCGGCCCGGUAAGUCUGUUGUGAAAGUCAAAGGCUCAACCUUUGAACGCCGAUGGAUACUGCCGGGCUAGAGUCCGGAAGAGGCGAGUGGAAUUCCUGGUGUAGCGGUGGAAUGCGCAGAUAUCAGGAGGAACACCAAUAGCGAAGGCAGCUCGCUGGGACGGUACUGACGCUGAGGCGCGAAAGCGUGGGGAGCGAACAGG